CUCGGACCUAAACCUUCCCACUCUAAGCAAAGAAGAUGCUGACUACCUCCUAACACCUUUCAGUUUGGAAGAAAUUUCCACCCUGAUCGGCUCCCUACCAGCUCACAAGGCCCCAGGCCCAGAUGGUCUCCCAAACUCAUACUAUCGUACAUUCCACUCUAUCCUGUCUCCACAUCUACUUAAUCUCUUCAACCAUAGCAUGGAGAGGGGAACCCUGCCACAAGAACUGUUACUAGC